rnacentral:rRNA from 1 species
ACACAUGCAAGUCGAGCGGAUGAAGGGAGCUUGCUCCUGGAUUCAGCGGCGGACGGGUGAGUAAUGCCUAGGAAUCUGCCUGGUAGUGGGGGAUAACGUCCGGAAACGGGCGCUAAUACCGCAUACGUCCUGAGGGAGAAAGUGGGGGAUCUUCGGACCUCACGCUAUCAGAUGAGCCUAGGUCGGAUUAGCUAGUUGGUGGGGUAAAGGCCUACCAAGGCGACGAUCCGUAACUGGUCUGAGAGGAUGAUCAGUCACACUGGAACUGAGACACGGUCCAGACUCCUACGGGAGGCAGCAGUGGGGAAUAUUGGACAAUGGGCGAAAGCCUGAUCCAGCCAUGCCGCGUGUGUGAAGAAGGUCUUCGGAUUGUAAAGCACUUUAAGUUGGGAGGAAGGGCAGUAAGUUAAUACCUUGCUGUUUUGACGUUACCAACAGAAUAAGCACCGGCUAACUUCGUGCCAGCAGCCGCGGUAAUACGAAGGGUGCAAGCGUUAAUCGGAAUUACUGGGCGUAAAGCGCGCGUAGGUGGUUCAGCAAGUUGGAUGUGAAAUCCCCGGGCUCAACCUGGGAACUGCAUCCAAAACUACUGAGCUAGAGUACGGUAGAGGGUGGUGGAAUUUCCUGUGUAGCGGUGAAAUGCGUAGAUAUAGGAAGGAACACCAGUGGCGAAGGCGACCACCUGGACUGAUACUGACACUGAGGUGCGAAAGCGUGGGGAGCAAACAGGAUUAGAUACCCAGGUAGUCCACGCCGUAAACGAUGUCGACUAGCCGUUGGGAUCCUUGAGAUCUUAAUGGCGCAGCUAACGCGAUAAGU